GAGUUUGAUCAUGGCUCAGGAUGAACGCUGGCGGCGUGCUUAACACAGUGCAAGUCGAACGAUGACUUUUGUGCUUGCACAAGAUGAUUAGUGGCGAACGGGUGAGUAACACGUGAGUAACCUGCCCUUGACUCUGGGAUAAGCCUGGGAAACUGGGUCUAAUACUGGAUAUGCACCGUGGACCGCAUGGUUCUUGGUGGAAAGAUUUAUUGGUCAGGGAUGGACUCGCGGCCUAUCAGCUUGUUGGUGAGGUAAUGGCUCACCAAGGCGACGACGGGUAGCCGGCCUGAGAGGGUGACCGGCCACACUGGGACUGAGACACGGCCCAGACUCCUACGGGAGGCAGCAGUGGGGAAUAUUGCACAAUGGGCGAAAGCCUGAUGCAGCGACGCCGCGUGAGGGAUGACGGCCUUCGGGUUGUAAACCUCUUUCAGUAGGGAAGAAGCGAAAGUGACGGUACCUGCAGAAGAAGCGCCGGCUAACUACGUGCCAGCAGCCGCGGUAAUACGUAGGGCGCAAGCGUUAUCCGGAAUUAUUGGGCGUAAAGAGCUCGUAGGCGGUUGUCGCGUCUAUCGUGANAGUCCGAGGCUCAACCUCGGAUCUGCGGUGGUACGGGCAGACUA
rnacentral:rRNA from 1 species